AACGAUCCGCACUGGCGAGGUUCGUUCUCAGUCCCAGCUGAACCACCGUCACGGAAUAACCGUCUGCGCAGUGUUCUAAAGUUAACUCACGUGAAGAAAGUAAACCACACAGUAGAGAAGAAGAGACAGAGAGAGAUAGAGAGAGAGAGCGAGCGAACAAGUGAAAAGGGAUCGAGUGUUGGAUCCAUAGUGAAAUUGCUAAAGUUAAAAGUGUAAAAGGGAGAAUUACAACAUAAAUUCCAAAAGAAACGAGUAAAAACAUCCCUCCAGCACCCUAGCGCUUGAAGUGGACAGUAAUGGCGAAGAAAGGGAAGGCUAAAAAUGGGGCAGCCCCCGGUGAAGGAGAACAAGUGGCUGCGCCGGCGGCUCCAGCAGCUGUCAAUGCACCGGCGGCAGCAGCAGCAGCAGUAACAGCCGUUCCGGCACGACCAGUCGAGAAGCAGGCCGCUCCCGUGCAGCAGCCUGCAGCCAAAGAGGUGAAGCUCGAGGUGAAGCCCGCCCAGCAGGCAAAUGGUGCCGCUGUACAGAACGGUGCCGAAGCCGGUGCCGAGCAAGGCGAACUGAGACGCAAGCGAAGCCGGCGCGGAGCUCGCAACGAUAAGAAGAAGUCGGACAAGGACGAUCAGUCGAAGGCGCCCUCGAACCUGACGGCGCGCAAGAAUCUGCGCAAAAAGCGCAGCAAGCUGAUGCGCAUGCUGGAGCAGGCCGAGGCGGGCCCAGCGGCCCCGCCCGCUGCCGAUGGGGCACCGGUGCAGACGCCGGAAGAAAUUCGCAAGAAGAUCGAGAUCGUCGAAAACUUGCUGCAGCUGCUGCAGGCCCAAACGCAGGAAGAGCGCAAGAAGAUAGAAAGCCUCAAGAAGGCACAGUCGGCGGAACAGCAGGAGGCGGCCGCGAAGAAGGCGGAACAGCCGCCGCAGAAGACGGCGGCGGCGGCACCCGGUUCGCCCAAGAGCCUGACCACGGAAAAGGCGCGCAAGGAGGCGGAGGCGAAGAAGCUGGCCGGCGAGAAGGCGGAAAUCCAGAACGAGGCGAAGCGGCUGGCACAGGAAAAGGCACGCAAGGAGCAGGAGAUGAAGAAGCUGAUCGCGGAGAAGGCGAAAAAGGACGCGGAGGCAAAGCAGCUGCUGGAGGAGAAGGCGGCCCGCGAAGCGGAACUGGCCAAGCUGACGCAGGCGCAGGCACGCAUCGAAACGGUGGAGCAGAAGAUUAACCAGCUCGACCAGAAGGUGCAGCAGCGAAAGGAGGCGGAAGAGCCGAAGGUGGCGGCUGCGCCAGUGCCGGCGGCGGCAGCGGCGGCUCCUGGUAGUCCGAAACAGAAGAAGGAUCAGGCGCGCACGCGCAAGGAUUCGGAAUCGAGCAAGAAGAAGGAGGCAGAAGAUAAGGCGAAGAAGGAUGCGGAAGAGAAGGCCAAGAAGGAGGCGGCUGAAAAGGCAAAGAAGGAAGCGGAGGAGAAGGCCAAGAAGGAAGCGGCUGAGAAGGCCAAGAAGGAAGCGGAAGAAAAGGCUAAGAAGGAGGCGGCUGAAAAGGCCAAGAAGGAAGCGGAGGAGAAGGCCAAGAAGGAAGCGGCUGAAAAGGCGAAGAAGGAAGCUGAAGAGAAGGCCAAGAAGGAGGCGGCUGAAAAGGCGAAGAAGGAGGCCGAAGAGAAGGCGAAGAAGGAGGCCGCUGAAAAGGCGAAGAAGGAAGCGGAGGAGAAGGCCAAGAAGGAGGCGGCUGAAAAGGCCAAGAAGGAAGCGGAGGAGAAGGCCAAGAAGGAAGCGGCUGAAAAGGCGAAGAAGGAGGCCGAAGAGAAGGCAAAGAAGGAGGCGGCUGAAAAGGCCAAGAAGGAAGCGGAGGAGAAGGCCAAGAAAGAGGCGGCUGAAAAGGCGAAGAAGGAGGCCGAAGAAAAGGCCAAGAUGGAGGCGGCUGAAAAGGCCAAGAAGGAAGCGGAGGAGAAGGCCAAGAAGGAAGCGGCUGAAAAGGCGAAGAAGGAAGCUGAAGAGAAGGCCAAGAAGGAGGCGGCUGAAAAGGCGAAAAAAGAAGCAGAGGAGAAGGCGAAGAAGGAGGCUGCAGAAAAGGCCAAGAAGGAGGCGGAAGAAAAGGCUAAGAAGGAAGCGGACGAAAAGGCUAAGAAGGAGGCGGCCGAAAAGGCGAAACAGGAGGCGGCUGAAAAGGCGAAAAAGCAAGCAGAAGAGGAAGCAAAGCGGAAAACGAACGGCGAAGCGGCGAAACAGGCCAACGGAUCGGCAGCGGCGGCCGCCCCAGCACAGGAAAAACCGGCCACCUCGAAGCAGGACGCCAAAAACAAUAAAAAGAACAACAAACGCACCCCCAAAAACAGUGUGUCGGAGGAUGACAAGAGCACAGCCAAAGCGACCGGUCCAAAAAACGGACCGGGCGGCGAUUUUGCCUCCUCUGCUGAACCCGCCAUGGUAGCAAAAUCGCAGGAAAGCCACUCAGCACCAGUCCCCGUCCCGCCGAAGACCGCCGAAGCUGCUCCUGCCUCCCCGAAACCCUCCCCGAAAGCCAACGCCGGCAAUAAACAGGCCGCAGCCGCCGCCCCAGUGAACGGCAAGCAACAGACACCACCGACCAAGACGCCCGAAAAGACGCCCGCCCAGCCAAAGACGGCCGCCCGAUCGUCACCGCCAAAGACCACGGCGAAGGCACCUUCUCCACCGAAAACGGCACCGGCGGCCGCUGCCCGUGCCGCACCCGCCAAACCCACCACACCACCCGCGUCAAAGAAACCGGAACCGCCGCCCAAGCCCGAAUUCCUCAAGAAGAAGUCACCCUCGGUCGAGAAGGAAAAGGUCGUGAAGGCGGCAGCACCGCAACAGGCCUCUCAGCCCCCUGCAGCGACAGCCACCCCGCCCAGCUCAGCAACACCUGCCACACCUGCCCCUGCCACCACCGUUCCAGCAACUCCUGUCUCAACACCUGCACCUCAGGCGGCUGCGGCAGCACCUCCCGCCCAGGAAGGUGCCGCCGUGUCGGCCCGCCUCACCGAGGAAGCCCUGAACGGGGCGAAGAAACCUGCCACUGCCGGCACUGCCAACAAGCCGAAACCGGCGCAGAAGAAGCCGGACGUGCCGCCGAAGCCGGACGUGCACAGCAAGAGCGCGGCCAAGAUGAAGACCCCGAUCAAGCAGCCGGGCGGCAAGGCGGCCAGCUCCACGUCUGAUUCCAGGUCGGCAGCGGCAGCGGAGCUAAGUAGAACGGAAGCAUUUAAGAAAAACAUGGACAUUAUAUCGACCAUCGCGGACGUGCUGUUGUCCUGCUCGCGCUCGAAGAAGAACCGCACCGCGGAGCGGCCGGCGGCUAACGCGCCCGAACCGCCUACCACUAACACAAGCAGUAGUUCACCUUCCUCAUCUUCCAAUACUAAUAGCACUACCACCACCACCACCAGUCUUGAUCCAUCUCUGCCCUCAUCGGCAUCACUCUUAUCAUCCCUAUUUCCAACGCUUUCGCAAUCACCCGGCCCGUCCGGCGGCUCGUCCGAUCAAGCAUCCUCAUCCACGUCCGCUGGCGAAACUGCGCACAGCAAGAAGUCCAAGCUGGACGUGGAACGCAUCCUGCGCAUACUGCAAGCCGGCCAGACGCCGUCCACAUCUUCAGCUUCGUCGGACCCAUCUGCAUCCUUGCUGCAGCAGCUCCCACCGGAGCUGCUAGCCGGAGGUCCCGAGGGUGAAGAAAAUCCGCUCGGAUCGUUUCUAACCAAAGAUGCCAUCCGCAUGCUGAUGCCAACUCUGCAGGAGGUGAACCACAAGUUUAACGUGGAAAAGCAACUGCACGCGCUCAAUGCGACGGCGGCGAUGGCGAAGAUAAUGCCAAAAACCCUACCGCCCGGCACGGACACGACCGAGGAGGACGAGCUGGAGGAGGAUCUGCUGGACGAGGAGGAGGAAGAUACGAUCGAGUACAAGUUCACACCGCGCCCGGUCUUCAUAGCAACGAUCUGUCAGGUGUGUAAGAACCCGCUGAAGAGUUUCGUCCACUGCGAGCGCUGCAAGAUGGUAUCGUACUGUGGCGAAGAACAUCGGCGCACGGAUCAACCGGCCCAUCGUGAACUGUGUGCGGUGCUGUGUGAAGUAGCCGGCAACAGAGGAGGACACAUUUACCAGCUGGCCCGGAAGCUGAACGUGCCCGAGUAUCGCAAUCUGCGCGUUCACACGCUCAACCAGAUCGAGCUCGCGCUCAAGCGCCCCAUGCAAGCGUACGAACGGGAGAUUGUACUGUUUCCACGCAUCUGCCUAACGCCCGAGUGCCGCGAAUGGCGGCAGGAGCUGCUGACGGAGUGUACCGACUGUCGGCAGGUUUCGUACUGUGCGGACAAUCCUGCACAUCUGCCCGCUUCCCAUCGGCGCUGGUGCAAGGCGUACCUGCUCUUCCAGAAGCUGAUCCUGCGGCAGCGCAUCCUGGGGCGGAUCGAGCCCGUGCUGCCGUCACGCAUCCUCUCGAAACCGGCCCCACUGCCGGCUAACAUUGACGAAGCGUUCAAACAACUGUACAAAAACUCGACUGUGCCUCGGGAUGAAUGUGUCUACGCCGUACUGUCGCAGAUAGCGACCGCGCCGCUGUCCGCACUGUAUGCGUACCAGCAGACAGGUCUACCGUUCGGCAGCACAUUCACGAUCCAUCUCGUCGGGGCCGAGCUACAGUUCGAGGGCGACACACUGGACAAGUGGGAAGCGUUCUUCCUUCACCUCGUACCGGAGGUCGCCGUACUGCGCGUCGUGUUCGUCGGUCCGGAGCUGAACGUCGAGAAUCUGCCGAUCGAUGUCAUCAGUCGCAUUAGAAUGUGCCGGACCUGCCGGUUGAAGUGCCGCGUGGUAGCGUUCGACUUCCAGUGUCGCACCAUGUACCACCAUGUACUACCGGCACAGCUCGCGCUACCAGCGACCGAAUCUCAUCUGCUUCUUCAACCCGGGACUUCACCGUACGACCGGGUUUGCCGGGCAGGACAGCUGGCCGGUAACAAUUCAUGCCGCAACGGAGGCAGGCUGCCCAAUGCUGGUGACCGCCUACACCGAGCUGGAGUCUCCCCUCGAUCUGGACCGGCUGCAGCGUGAGUCGACGCGUGCCCUUCAGGUCGUUCAGCCACCGACGGUCAAUCCGUACGGUUCCAAGCGCCCCGAUCGUAACUUCAUUUCGGACGAUACUGCUCCGAUGAUCUUCAAGAACUACUACUACUUCAUAGUGAAAUAGAGUGCGAGAUAAAGAGA